rnacentral:lncRNA from 1 species
AGAAAGAAAGAGGAAACAAUAAUUUCUUUCUUGUUUCACUGUUUCUUGGAUAUUAAAACUGACACAUGUAUAUAGACUGCUCUACCGUGAAAGGUUUUUAAUCCUAACCAUUAUUCGUACUUUUGCAGUGGAAAUUUAAUUUACCAUCUUACUUCCACAAGAAUGCGACAGACAUAGCCAUAUCACUCUCCAUGGGGGUGAGCUUCUUACUAGUAACAAGAGUUGGGGAAAAAUUCAUUAUAUAAUUCUAAUGGUAUAACUUUCUACUUUUACCUAACAAAACAAAGACUAAAUCCUCAUUCAUCCCUUUUAAUAUUCCCCCUUAUUGCAUGUGGCCAUAAAUUAAGGAGCAUAUUAUUGAUGCAUUUUGAUCUUAUUAGGGCUCUCAUUCAAGUGCUCUAUAGUGUUUGUCCCAAGUGAAGUUUAUUUUGAAGAUUGACAAAGGAACUCAGGCAUGAAUCAUGUCCAUCCCUGUAUACACAGACACGGGCAGAUUCAAGCAUAAGAGAUGCACGUGAAGGAGAUAAGCUUAACUUGUUAUAUCUGAUAUCUCCUGAUCGAAAAGGUUGUAUAAUUGAUAAGAAGAAGGACUCCUUACUCAAAGAGAACACUAUCCAAGAUAAGGGAGGAUUUAGAAGUUGAGGAUAACUAGAACUCAUCCACCAAGGAAGAGUAGCAUUAGAACUCUAGUUAUUUCUUAUUCUACUAACUCUAUAUAUUGCAGGAUGUUUUCAUUCUACAGGUACGCACGAACGUUGAAGUCAAACAUGAGUUGAGAGCAAAAUAGCAAAGCAUUUUGCAAACAAUUCUUGUGUGAAUCAAGGGUGCGAACCUGAAGCUACAUGAACUAGAUAGAAGAACCAGUUCCAAGCGUUUGUCUUUUAUUCUAGUUCAAUUGUAGUAGGUGUUUUCAAGUUGUACCUUUCAGCUUUAUCUAGAAGCAAUUAUAUUAGGUACUCUGAGUAUUUAAGUUAGAGUUAACUUGAAGUU